rnacentral:rRNA from 1 species
ACGAACGCUGGCGGCGUGCUUAACACAUGCAAGUCGAACGGAAAGGCCCUGCUUUUGUGGGGUGCUCGAGUGGCGAACGGGUGAGUAACACGUGAGUAACCUGCCCUUGACUUUGGGAUAACUUCAGGAAACUGGGGCUAAUACCGGAUAGGAGCUCCUGCUGCAUGGUGGGGGUUGGAAAGUUUCGGCGGUUGGGGAUGGACUCGCGGCUUAUCAGCUUGUUGGUGGGGUAGUGGCUUACCAAGGCUUUGACGGGUAGCCGGCCUGAGAGGGUGACCGGCCACAUUGGGACUGCGAUACGGCCCAGACUCCUACGGGAGGCAGCAGUGGGGAAUAUUGCACAAUGGGCGGAAGCCUGAUGCAGCAACGCCGCGUGCGGGAUGACGGCCUUCGGGUUGUAAACCGCUUUCGCCUGUGACGAAGCAUGAGUGACGGUAAUGGGUAAAGAAGCACCGGCUAACUACGUG